rnacentral:rRNA from 1 species
UCGAGAAUCUUUGGCAAUGGACGAAAGUCUGACCAAGCGACGCCGCGUGCGGGAUGAAGGCCUUCGGGUUGUAAACCGCUGUCGUAGGGGAUCAAAUGUAUGAGGGUUCUCCCUUGUAUUUGAGAGAUCCUAGGAGGAAGGAGAGGCUAAGCUCGUGCCAGCAGCCGCGGUAAGACGAGCUCUCCAAACGUUAUUCGGUAUCACUGGGCUUAAAGAGUUCGUAGGCGGCUCAUUAGGUGGGGUGUGAAAGCCCUCGGCUCAACCGAGGAACUGCGCCCCAAACCAAUGGGCUUGAGGGGUAUAGGGGUAAGCGGAACAGAUGGUGGAGCGGUGAAAUGCAUUGAUAUCAUCUGGAACACCGGUGGCGAAAGCGGCUUACUGGAUACUUUCUGACGCUGAG